rnacentral:misc_RNA from 1 species
UCCGGUUUGUCGCCGGCAGUCUCCUAUGAGUCCCCGACAUUACUCGCUGGCAACAUAGGACAGGGGUUGCGCUCGUUGCGGGACUUAACCCAACUUCUCACGACACGAGCUGACGACAGCCAUGCACCACCUGUGCACUGGCCCCGAAGGGCUGUCGUAUUUCUACGACAUUCCAGUGCAUGUCAAGCCCUGGUAAGGUUCUUCGCGUUGCGUCGAAUUAAGCAACAUGCUCCGCCGCUUGUGCGGGCCCCCGUCAAUUCCUUUGAGUUUCAGCCUUGCGGCCGUACUCCCCAGGCGGGGCACUUAAUGCGUUAGCUCCGACACCGAGUGCGUCUAUACACCCGGCAUCUAGUGCCCAUCGUUUACGGCUGGGACUAC